UGAAGUUCCAGUAGAAAACAACCCACUCAAAUGGGAUAAUUGAGGAGAGGCUGGUCAAGUGCCUGUUUACAAAGAUGUGGGCAGGAAGGAUCAUGUUGGGAUGGAGAUGCCCAAGAUUGAAGCCUGGAAUGAUGAGCCACCACGUGGAGGAUGAACAACCUGAACCUGGUCUGAAGCUGGGGUUGAGACAGACAGCAAGAAGAAACAAAACCAGAGGAGAAGAAUGGAGCUGGAUUGUCUGUGAAGACCCUGCCAGGCUGCAAAAAAGCUGCAUUCGUAGUGCAGAGAAUGCAGCUGGAGGAGCUCUUUGAUUUAACUGUUGUUACUGAAAUCUGUGUAGCAUCAAGUGACUUAGAGCAGGAAGUUAUCUUAGAAUUCUGGAAAGAUUCAAGGUGAUUAGACAGUUGAGGAGUAAGAGUUCAAAGCCAGGACCGCUCAUUUCAGGCAAGGCUUGGGCAGUGACGUAAAUCCUUAGCCAAGAGCUAUAAUAGUCUUCUUUAGGCUCCCUGAAGAUAGGAGCCAGAUCUUAAUCCUUUCUGCAUCUACAAUGAAUUGUAUAGAACAAUAGUAGGUGCUUCAUGAGUAGCUGUCAGAUGAUGGCUUUGUGUAUCACCAAAGGAUGGGCCUUUCUGUCCCCUUGCAGCUCUGGUGCUCAUGGAUUAAAUUGUUUGGUCCCUUUCAGUUCUUUCCAUACCUGGCUUAUUGGAUACUCUCAACUACAUAGUUGGAACCCUCCUUUUCCCACGCAGUAGUGUCUCCCAUAAAGACUUUUUGGCUAGAUUCUGUAACUUGUCAGCCAUUUUUGAUUACAAGAAUAGUUCUUAUUCUAUUAUCUAAGACUCAUGCCUCUUCAUUCUUAAAAUUCAGUUUUGUGUGUGAUUCAGAUCUUGAGUCCUCCCCUCUCUCCAGCAUAGGCUAGUGCUGUGUUCUAAAUGUUUGUGUCCUCCUGAAAUUCGUAUGUUGAAACCUAAUCUCCAAUGCAACAGUAUUAAGGACUAGGGUCUUUAGGAGAGCUCAUUUGCCCCUUUCCCCAUGUGAGGACACAGCUACAAGCGCCACUUAUGAAGCAGAGAGUGAGCCCUCACUAGACACCAAAUCUGCUGACCUCUUGAUC